UACGUAGGGGGCAAGCGUUGUCCGGAUUUAUUGGGCGUAAAACGCUUGUAGGCGGCCACAUCGCGUCGGACGUGAAAUCUCCCGGCUCAACUGGGAGGGGUCGUGCGAUACGGAUGGGCUCGAGGCCGGUAGGGGGACGCGGAAUUCCCGGUGUAGUGGUGGAAUGCGUAGAGAUCGGGAGGAACAUCAGUUGCGAAGGCGGCUCUCUGGACCAGCACUGACACUGAGGCACGAAAGCGUGGGGAGCAAACAGG
rnacentral:rRNA from 1 species